rnacentral:rRNA from 1 species
UCCGUAGGUGAACCUGCGGAAGGAUCAUUACCGAGUUGGAAGUGGAGGUUGAUGCUGGUGUGUGUGUAUACGCACACAGGUGCUCGCCGACACACUCUUCAUCCACUCAACCCCUGUGCACUUUAUCAGAGUUAGUAGUAGUAGUCAUCAUUAUAGUAGUGUAAGCCAUUUGUUAUAKUCAUAGUUAGAGAAGCGGAUUACGCCUUUCUGACGGUUUGUGAUCAUAUARCAAUCUUGGUUCUUCUACUGCGACUCUAUGAACACUUUGACUUAUACAAACAGUUUACUUGUUCUUGUGAAUGUGUAAUGCUCUUUGUGAGUAGAAUACAAAUAUACAACUUUCAACAACGGAUCUCUUGGCUCUCGCAUCGAUGAAGAACGCAGCGAAAUGCGAUAAGUAAUGUGAAUUGCAGAAUUCAGUGAAUCAUCGAAUCUUUGAACGCACCUUGCGCCUCUUGGUAUUCCGAGGGGCAUGCCUGUUUGAGUGUCAUUAUCAUUCUCAAAUCCCCCUUCUUUGGGGGUUUUGGACCUUGGAGGUUUUGUAUGCUGGUACUGUUUGUAUCGGCUCCUCUCAAAUGCAUUAGCUGGACUGUAUAAGUUGCGUUGUUUGGUGUAAUAGUGCCUUGCCUAUCUAUAUUCACUGUAGCGCUUACUUGGACUGGUCUGCUUCGAAUUGUCCGCCUCUGUGUCGGACAGGUACCUUUGCUACCUUUAUAUUGACCCUUUGACCUCAAAUCAGGUAGGACUACCCGCUGAACUUAAGCAUAUCAAUAAGCGGAGGAA